CAAGCAGGCUCUAGGUGUGUCCCAGCUCAGAGCAGCUCCGCCAGCGGGGUGUUUCUCCCCUGCAGGGAAAUUCCAGGGGGCAGUGCCGGCCUCAGCUGCGCUCAGCCUCGCCCCGCAGCCAUACAGCUGGCCAGUUUCCCCGAGCACAACUGCUCCUCCAGACAAGGUAGAGGGCGGAAUGUGUAAGCUUUUCUCCUGGAGAGGGCACCCCCCCCCCCGCCGUGUCUUCUGGCCCUGUGGAAUUAGGAGGUACAGAGGAAUGGAAGAAACCCACCACCCUAACUCACAUUCGGAACCUGGGGCCCCCAUGUGCACGCGCUCCACUGACGCCACCCCCCUAAAGGAUCAUGGAGAGGAGGCCACGUGCUCAGCUGAGAUGGGAACCGACCUAGUCCCGGUUCACUGGCUGGUGGAAACUCAGGCAAGAGAAGGAAUGAUUAAGGGGAACAUGCAGGAGGAACAGCAAGGAGACAUCAUCCUAAUUCCGGUGAGGCCACCUCAUUCUGGUCUCUGCUCAGAUGUCCCUUCCCUGACCACACCAGCCCCCACCUCUCCCUCCCUGCCUCUCACCUGCUUCCUUUUCUGCUGGUGUACCCGGCCAUCUGAUGAUGGCAUGUACACCUUUGUUUCAUGGAAGAUCCAGGAGAGCGGGGCUCGGCUUUGCUCACUGCCUGUCCCCAGCGUCUAGGGAAGUUGGCUGCAUUAACUGAACACUUGCUCUGUGCCAGGCACUGUAUCAUGUGCUUUGAAUGCGUUAAGUAAUCUUAGCCUUACUGUGGUCCUGUGAGGGUUUUUACCCAAGUAGAAAAAUGAAGCCCAGAGAAGUUAAGAAUCUUGCCCAAGGACAUAGGAGUUGACCCUGGCCCUCUGUGCUCCUACACAUGCCCUGGAUCGCCAACCAUAGUGACUUGGCCCUUUCCUCCACCCUCGCACAGCCUCUGCUGGGGGGGACUACCCCGCUCCUUCUGCCCUUGCUGAAUUCCCUGUGCCAGUCUCAGGAAUGCUGAACCAAACCCCUAGACCCUGAGCACCCCCAACCAGCCUGGCCUUUGGACAAGGAGAAGAGGAGCAUUCAUACUGAAGGGAUCCAGAAUCUCUCACUUUUAAUUUGCAUGUUCCCAAGAACUGAACCUAAGAGCGUACAGAAAAAAGUCUUCCUCCCAAACAAUGCCAAGUUCAACCUGGAAGGAGAAACACCGGUGGUGCCAUUUUUCAGAUGGAAGGGGACCCGCUGACCCUGACCAUUUGUUGGCAGUCAGGAUGGAUUUGUGCUAAUUUUUCUGCUAUCUGAUCACUGUACAUCCAAGGUCACUAUGAUCUCUGCAACUGAGUUUCUUUCACACAGAGCGAACAGACACUGGAACCUACUUCCUCAAUCUGACUAACAUGCUUCCAGUUAAAAGGCCCACCAGGAAGAGCCCCUGCCCCCAAGCAGCAGGUUCACUGGCCUAAGAGGGCAAAGUGGGCACUUACUCUGGGGGAAAUCACUGUGGUCUGCAGUGCAACCCUUAGCUCUGUGGGCCAGAGGGGAUCCCUUUGGCAAGACUGACUCACACUAAUCAAACUCACCAAGCACCGAUGUAAAAACCAGAAUGCUAUCUUCCUAUUUUGCCGAGAAGCCUGCUUGGCCCACAAGAUGCUUACGUUGGCAGGUGUGGAUGGUCUCUCUUUCCUGCCGGAUGUGGGGAGCGGCUCUGGAAGGAAGACGAAGCUGGUGAAGUUUGAGGCCAGUGGGACAGGGAGGGAGAGAAGCUUCUCACCACAUUCUUAUUUCGACUUUUAACUAGUGGCCCAUGUGCUCAAAGAACAAUUGGUUUUUAAAAAUCCUUUCGGGGGGCACCUGGGUGGCUCAGUCGGUUAAGCGUCCG